rnacentral:rRNA from 1 species
AUUGGACUAGGGGGCUUCACCGCCUACCAAAUCCUGACAAACUCCGAAUGGUACUAAAUAUCUCCGGGAGUGAGGCUGCGGGCGAUAAGGUCCGUGGCCGAGAGGGAAAUAACCCAGAUUAGCAACUAAGGUCCCUAAUACACCUGGUUAAGUUGAUCAAACGAGGUGGGAUUUCUAUAACAGCCAGGAUGUUGGCUUGGAAGCAGCCACUCAUUUAAAGAGUGCGUAACAGCUCACUGGUCGAGAGAUCCUGCACGGAAAAUAAUCGGGCAUCAAACCAUGAACCGAAGUUCUAAGAUUGCUGCUACGCAGUAUAUCGGUAGGGGAGCAUUGAAAUCAGCUGUGAAGGUGUGUGGCGAUGCAUGCUGGAGCGAUUUCAAAAGAAAAUGUAGGCAUAAGUAACGAUAAUUAAGGUGAAAAACCUUAACGCCGAAAAACCCAAGGUUUCCUGAUCAAUGUUAAUCAGAUCAGGGUUAGUCGGGUCCUUAGGCGAACCCGAAAGGGGUAGCUGAUGGCAAGUCGUUUAAUAUUACGACACCUGCUUAUACUUCGAUGGGGUGACGGGGUAGUGAAAGAUCCGCGAACUGACGGAAUAGUUCGUUAAAGGGUGUAGAUAUAUUUUUUGUAGGCAAAUCCGCAGAGAAUGUCGAACCUGAAGUACAGCAAAGCUUCGGCAGCGCUGAUAGUGAUCCUAAUCAAACCUCCGAGAAAAACCUCUAAGGUAGGAUAAAGCAGCCCGUACCGCAAACCGACACAGGUAGUCGAGAUGAGUAUUCUAAGGCGCUCGGGUGAGCCGUGGAGAAGGAACUAGGCAAAUUGAUGCUGUAACUUCGGGAUAAAGCAUCCACGUCGGAUUGGUCUCAGUAAAAUGGUUCAACCAACUGUUUAGCAAAAACACAGGGCCCUGCAAAAUCGAAAGAUGACGUAUAGAGCCUGAUACCUGCCCGGUGCCGGAAGGUUAAGGAAGGAUGUUCGACGCAAGCAAAGCUUCUGACUGAAGCCCCAGUAAACGGCGGCCGUAACUAUAACGGUCCUAAGGUAGCGAAAUUCCUUGUCGGGUAAGUUCCGACCUGCACGAAUGGUCUAAUGAGUUGAACACUGUCUCCUCCGCGAGCCCGGUGAAAUUGUAGUAUCGGUGAAGAUGCCGGUUACCCGUCACGGGACGGAAAGACCCCAUGAACCUUCACUACAACUUUGCAUUGAUUUUGAAUUUUUGAUGUGUAGGAUAGUUGGGAGACUUUGAAGCGGCGUCGCCAGGCGUCGUGGAGUCAACGUUGAAAUACCAACCUUCAAACAUUUAGAAUCUAAUCCCUGACGGGAAACAGUGCAUGGUGGGUAGUUUGACUGGGGUGGUCGCCUCCUAAAGUGUAACGGAGGCUUGCAAAGGUUCCUUCAGUACGGUUGGUAAUCGUACAUAGAGCGUAUUAGUAUAAGGGAGCUUGACUGUGAGACUUACAAGUCGAGCAGGGACGAAAGUCGGCUAAAGUGAUCCGGCGGUUCUGUAUGGAAGGGCCGUCGCUCAAAGGAUAAAAGGUACUCGGGGAUAACAGGCUGAUCUCCCCCAAGAGCUCAUAUCGACGGGG